GAUGAACGCUGGCGGCGUGCCUAAUACAUGCCAGUCGAGCGAACAGACGAGGAGCUUGCUCCUCUGACGUUAGCGGCGGACGGGUGAGUAACACGUGGAUAACCUACCUCUAAGACUGGGAUAACUUUGGGAAACCGGAGCUAAUACUGGAUAAUAUAUUGAACCGCAUGGUUCAAUAGUGAAUGACGGUUUUGCUGUCACUUAUAGAUGGAUCCGCGCCGCAUUAGCUAGUUGGUAAGGUAACGGCUUACCAAGGCGACGAUGCGUAGCCGACCUGAGAGGGUGAUCGGCCACACUGGAACUGAGACACGGUCCAGACUCCUACGGGAGGCAGCAGUAGGGAAUCUUCCGCAAUGGGCGAAAGCCUGACGGAGCAACGCCGCGUGAGUGAUGAAGGUCUUCGGAUCGUAAAACUCUGUUAUUAGGGAAGAAAAAAUGUGUAAGUAACUAUGCACGUCUUGACGGUACCUAAUCAGAAAGCCACGGCUAACUACGUG
rnacentral:rRNA from 1 species